GUCGAGCGGACAGAUGGGAGCUUGCUCCCUGAUGUUAGCGGCGGACGGGUGAGUAACACGUGGGUAACCUGCCUGUAAGACUGGGAUAACUCCGGGAAACCGGGGCUAAUACCGGAUGGUUGUUUGAACCGCAUGGUUCAAACAUAAAAGGUGGCUUCGGCUACCACUUACAGAUGGACCCGCGGCGCAUUAGCUAGUUGGUGAGGUAACGGCUCACCAAGGCAACGAUGCGUAGCCGACCUGAGAGGGUGAUCGGCCACACUGGGACUGAGACACGGCCCAGACUCCUACGGGAGGCAGCAGUAGGGAAUCUUCCGCAAUGGACGAAAGUCUGACGGAGCAACGCCGCGUGAGUGAUGAAGGUUUUCGGAUCGUAAAGCUCUGUUGUUAGGGAAGAACAAGUACCGUUCGAAUAGGGCGGUACCUUGACGGUACCUAACCAGAAAGCCACGGCUAACUACGUGCCAGCAGCCGCGGUAAUACGUAGGUGGCAAGCGUUGUCCGGAAUUAUUGGGCGUAAAGGGCUCGCAGGCGGUUUCUUAAGUCUGAUGUGAAAGCCCCCGGCUCAACCGGGGAGGGUCAUUGGAAACUGGGGAACUUGAGUGCAGAAGAGGAGAGUGGAAUUCCACGUGUAGCGGUGAAAUGCGUAGAGAUGUGGAGGAACACCAGUGGCGAAGGCGACUCUCUGGUCUGUAACUGACGCUGA
rnacentral:rRNA from 2 species